GAAAUGCGAUAAGUAGUGUGAAUUGCAGAAUUCAGUGAAUCAUCGAAUCUUUGAACGCACAUUGCGCCCUUUGGUAUUCCAAAGGGCAUGCCUGUUCGAGCGUCAUUUGUACCCUCAAGCUUUGCUUGGUGUUGGGCGUCUUGUCUCUAGCUUUGCUGGAGACUCACCUUAAAGUAAUUGGCAGCCGGCCUACUGGUUUCGGAGCGCAGCACAAGUCGCACUCUCUAUCAGCAAAGGUCUAGCAUCCAUUAAGCCUUUUUUCAACUUUUGACCUCGGAUCAGGUAGGGAUACCCGCUGAACUUAAGC
rnacentral:misc_RNA from 1 species